GGAAUAUUGGACAAUGGGCGAAAGCCUGAUCCAGCCAUGCCGCGUGAGUGAAGAAGGCCCUAGGGUUGUAAAGCUCUUUCAGCGGGGACGAUAAUGACGGUACCCGCAGAAGAAGCCCCGGCUAACUUCGUGCCAGCAGCCGCGGUAAUACGAAGGGGGCUAGCGUUGUUCGGAAUUACUGGGCGUAAAGCGCGCGUAGGCGGACAUUUAAGUCAGGGGUGAAAUCCCAAGGCUCAACCUUGGAACUGCCUUUGAUACUGGAUGUCUGGAGUUCGGGAGAGGUGAGUGGAAUUCCGAGUGUAGAGGUGAAAUUCGUAGAUAUUCGGAGGAACACCAGAAGCGAAGGCGGCUCACUGGCCCGAUACUGACGCUGAGGCGCGAAAGCGUGGGGAGCAAA
rnacentral:rRNA from 1 species